UGCUCGCUUUGGCAGCAAUAUACUAAAAUUGGAAUGACACCGAGAAGAUUAGCAUGGCUCCUGCACAAGAAUGACACGCAAAUUCGUGAAGCAUUCCUUUAUUUU
rnacentral:snRNA from 1 species